UACGGAGGGUGCAAGCGUUAUCCGGAUUCACUGGGUUUAAAGGGUGCGUAGGUGGACUUGAAAGUCAGUGGUGAAAUCUCCGGGCUUAACCUGGAAACUGCCAUUGAUACUUUAGGUCUUGAAUUUUCUGGAGGUUAGCGGAAUAUGUCAUGUAGCGGUGAAAUGCUUAGAUAUGACAUGGAACACCAAUUGCGAAGGCAGCUGACUACGGGAAUAUUGACACUGAGGCACGAAAGCGUGGGGAUCAAACAGG
rnacentral:rRNA from 1 species